rnacentral:rRNA from 1 species
UACGAACCGUACAAACGUUAUUCGGAAUCACUGGGCUUAAAGGGUGCGUAGGCGGCCAUGUAAGUGGGGUGUGAAAUCCCUCGGCUCAACCGAGGAACUGCGCUCCAUAUUGCAUGGCUUGAGGGAGACAGGGGUAAGCGGAACUGAUGGUGGAGCGGUGAAAUGCGUUGAUAUCAUCAGGAACACCGGUGGCGAAAGCGGCUUACUGGGUCUCUUCUGACGCUGAGGUACGAAAGCUAGGGUAGCGAAC